UGGGGAAUAUUGGGCAAUGGGCGCAAGCCUGACCCAGCAACGCCGCGUGAAGGAAGAAGGUUUUCGGAUUGUAAACUUCUGUCCUAAGUGACGAAGGAAGUGACGGUAAUCUGUGAGGAAGCCCCGGCUAACUACGUGCCAGCAGCCGCGGUAAUACGUAGGGGGCGAGCGUUGUCCGGAAUUACUGGGCGUAAAGGGAGCGUAGGCGGUUAAUUAAGUUAGAUGUGAAAUACCCGGGCUUAACUUGGGGGGUGCAUCUAAUACUGGUAAACUAGAGUACAGGAGAGGAAAGCGGAAUUCCUAGUGUAGCGGUGAAAUGCAUAGAUAUUAGGAGGAACAUCGGUGGCGAAGGCGGCUUUCUGGACUGACACUGACGCUGAGGCUCGAAAGCGUGGGGAGCAAACAGGAUUAGAUACCCUGGUAGU
rnacentral:rRNA from 1 species